UUGUUUUAUUUAUUUAGAUUGUUUUGUACAGAGGAAAUACUAGGGUGGAGGAAUUUGGAAAGGCCCUUCUAAUCACACUGGCUAUCUGAUCACAAUCCUACAUGAAGUCAGGUGACAAUAUCUGAGGGAGAAACUGCUCUGUAUCCUUUAUAAACAUUUGCUUUCAUGCUAUAAUCCCCUAGAGGUAAAAGAACAAUCUUGCAAGGAGGCAUUCUGGUCCCAGCUUGACAACACAUGGUUGUUUCCAAUACUUGUACACCCCUUGGGCAAAAGCUGUUACCUUGUGAAUGAAACACAACACAUGGAGAAUCCAGCAUAGCAUUUUCAGAACUAGAAGUCUUCAGAAUCAGUCUGGCUGCGUAAAAGAUGAUCCUCUUUCCCGCUUAAGGUGACCAGUUCUUCACGGUGAAUUGUAAAAGAAUGUGGAGGAGCCCAACUCUCUGCUGUCUCUUGGUAGCAGCACAACUGUAUUUCCUGAACUCAGUCUACAGUCAAGAGACAGGUUGGUGUCCUUGGAUUCAGCUUACCAUCUGUAUUUGCAGUUGUGAUUUCUUGGCAUGUGUUCUGGCUUAGUUCAGACACAACUGUGGCUGGAUGCAUGAAUGGCAGGGUAAUAUGUUUGUCUCACUUCUGCAACAAAUCUUUUUGCCAUUAUAACUGAACUGGCGAUCUGUGGUUGGUGUUUGCCCUAGAAACCUAUGCUAUAUCUGCACACGGUCAGACAGUGCACUGUUGCACUGUAGGAAUUCUUCACAACUGAACUAGGCAAUCCCGUUGCAAAUGAUUGUGAUGAUCCCUGGCUCUGAAGAGGUCGGGUUGUCCUCAGCAAGGGCCAGGACUUCUUCAAUCCUGACCCUGACCUGGUGGAAUGCUCUGCCUGUAGAUACCAAGGCCCUGCGAGAUCUUCUACAGUUUCAUAAGGCAUCUAAGGCAGAGAUGUUCUGCCAGGCUUUUACCCAAGGACAGUGAUGGUUGCUAUGCUGGCACCUCUCUCCUCAGUACCCUCCAAGAGUCCCUCCACCCCAAUGUAGCAUCCAGUAUCUGAUAUUUGAAUUCUGAAAUCUGAAAUUUAGACCUGCAGUGAUUGAAUAAGACACCAUUGAGACUAAAAUUGCUUCUGAAAA